AUCACCUGCCUCAAACACACAUGAAAAAAGGCGGGAUAAAAUUAUCAACAGUAAAAUCUCAGGGUUUUGGGGGCCAAGAAAAGGCAAAGGCUUACCAGGUGCUUCUGGCUAGGGAGCAGUCCAUGGACGGAAACUGAGAGGAGGUGAGGGCCACACGCGUCCCAACCUCAGAAGAAGCCAUAACCUUGGUGACUUUGCCAAGAAUCCAGAAUUUUCCACAGCAGUACAACUUCCUCUGAAGCCUCCUGUUUGGCCUUAAAAAUCCAUGUGGAUUGUGCGGUCUACUCUAUAACACAGGUGUAUUCAUGUAUAUGUUUUUAAUUACUUGUAGCUGAAUGAAACUGAUGCUCUAUGAAGAUGUGCCCUCCACUGUAGGUUCCAGCACCUCUGGCACAUCACUGUAUGUUCAGGGGUCUAUGUAUCGUGAGUGAUUAGCAAAUGCUUAGGCCAAGGUACAUAGAAAAUAUUAGAACUACUUGUAUGUACCUUUCUCAUUACCCUGCCACUUCACAAGAAGAGGGACAGAGAGUCAGGCUGUAAAGUCUGUAAUUCAUGCACAUCUUCCUCUUCUUUCAGGGUCUGGGAAGGUCAGGAGGAAAUGAGGGUUUUUGACCUCAUAAAAAUGAGAAAGA